AUUGAACGCUGGCGGCAGGCCUAACACAUGCAAGUCGCGCGGAGCGGCGGACGGGUGAGUAAUGCCUAGGAAUCUGCCUGGUAGUGGGGGAUAACGUCCGGAAACGGGCGCUAAUACCGCAUACUAUCAGAUGAGCCUAGGUCGGAUUAGCUAGUUGGUGGGGUAAAGGCCUACCAAGGCGACGAUCCGUAACUGGUCUGAGAGGAUGAUCAGUCACACUGGAACUGCGAAACGGUCCCAACUCCUACGGGAGGCAGCAGUGGGGAAUAUUGGACAAAGGGCGAAAGCCUGACGGAGCAAAGCCGCGGGAGUGAUGACGGCCUUCGGGUUGUAAAGCUCUGUUAAUCGGGAGACGGUACCGGAAUAGAAAGCCCCGGCGAACUACGUGCCAGCAGCCGCGGUAAUUC
rnacentral:rRNA from 1 species